CCCUCCCUUCCAAAGCACCACCAUAAGAAGAGAACAAUACAACUGCCAGCAUCUGUGGCUGAAGGGAGAAAAUUAAAAUCUCCCUGUCGAAGCUAUCCCUUGUCGUUGACCCCAAAGUCACCCUCGCCCUCCCAGGAUGUGAAAAAAGAUGGAAGAUUAGAGGAGCAUGGUAAACAAUGCCACAGGGUUGCACUCAGUGAAACCCAGAACAUGAGGAAUUCAACAGGUAAAUGAAAUGCUGUCCUCAACAAAGAAAUGGCAGAAGUCCAGGGCAUACACCAAGUCAGCUGGGGACUUCCGAGUGGGCAGUCUUGCAGUCAAUGACCUGGUAGACAUGCCAAGAGAACUAAGCAGCUGUAAAUAACCACUGUGUCAAUCUGGAGGAACUGUGCUCCUUUCAUAAUGAUCCUAUGCCACUAAUCUUUAUCAUUUUGGACAACAGCUCCACCAUGAUUAAAUCUUUCAGAAAGUCAUUUCUAUUUUUCAGAUUACAGUCUUACAGGUUGAAAGACAGGCUGGUAUUACAGCCAGAGUUCCGGUAUCUUCCAGGAAUCAUCAUGAAUAAGAAUAGUGACACGAUUUUAGUGUCUCUAUUGAUUUUGCAAGUAAAUGUAAUAAACUGAGAUACUACUAUUGUUACAUUUCAUGAUUGCUGGGGAGUGGUGUUCUUUUGCCUUCCCUUGGCUCUUAAAACAGCUCUGAAAUGUACCAUAAGGCUCCAUCAUUUUCCUUGUCAUCAUUAUCACUAUCACCACCACCACAAUCAUCACUAUCAUCAUGGGAUCAACUAACAUUUUUGAGUGUUUUUCUUUGUACCAGAUUCUGUAUUGCAUAUGCAAUCACAUUUAAUUCUCAGUACAGCUCUAGGACAGGGUUAUUAUUAUCCUCAUUGUUCAGAGAAGGAAACUGAAACAGUGACAUUAACUAAUUCCAAAGGAGCAGAAUCAGUGCUCAAAACUAAGAUGAUCUGCUCUAAGGUCCACACUCCUAGCUAUCAUAUUUCUUUUGAUCUAUCUUGAUGCUCAAGCUAAAGAGAUGAAAAUGGGGACAGAAGAGGUAGAUUUCAGUUGCUGGCUGCUCCAGUUUUCUAGGCAGUUUUGAAGAAAAUUUCCUAGGGUGUCUCAGCUUCUUACUUCCAAAAGUGACUGUACUAUUCUGGAAAGUUUUGUGGUUUUAGAGGAUUUCAUUUUUUUCAUUAAUUAUAGUUACUCUUUGAAAUGAUAGAUGAUUAAAAUGAUUAGCAGAACUAUUUCCAAGUAGAUAAUGUUCUCUGAAAUUAGAAACCCAAAAUGCACCUUUCAUCAAUGAACAAAAAUAAAACUGAAAACUCAUUAACUUGGGGCUAAUUUGGAAAGAUUUUCUGAUAAUUCAGUGAAGGUGAAGCAUGUGUGAAGUAUAAUGGGAGAUUAGGAAUUGAAUUAGACAUCAAUUCUGCCGACUUCAAGUACUGAAGAGCACAGCAGGGAAGAUGUGAGACAUAAACAUAGCUUUUGAUACAUGUAAAAAGUGACAGGAGUCUUAGAGAAGUAGAGGUGAGGUUUCAUGAAUGUUCCAAAGCAGUGCUAUUCAAAGUGUGACCCAUGUUUCAGACACUU